rnacentral:lncRNA from 1 species
GAGACGGAGUCUCGCGCUGUCGCCCAGGCUGGAGUGCAGUAGCGCAAUCUCGGCUCACUGCAAGCUCCGCCUCCUGAGUUCACGCUAUUCUCCUGCCUCAGCCUCCCGAGUAGCUGGGACUCCAGGUGCCUGCCACCAUCCCCGGCUAAUUUUUUGUAUUUUUAGUAGAGACAGGGUUUCACUGUAUUAGCCAGGAUGGUCUUGAUCUCCUGACCUCGUGAUCCGCCCACCUCGGCCUCCCAAAGUGCUGGGAUUACAGGCGUGAGCCACUGCACUUGGCUUUUUUUUUUUUGAGACGAAGUCUCACUCUGUUGCCCAGGCUAGGCUAGAGUGCAGUAGCGCGAUCUCAGCUCACUGCAACCUCUGCCUCCUGAGUUCAAGUGAUUGUCCUGCUUCAGCCACCUGAGUAGCUGGGAUUACAGGCACUCACCACCACGCCCAGUUAAUAUUUGUAUUUUUAGUACAGAUGGGGUUUCACCAUUUUGGCCAGGUUAGUCUCAAACUCCUGACCUCAGGUGAUCCGCCGGCCUAGGCCUCCCAAAGUACUGGGAGUACAGGCAUUUAUCAUCUAGUCAAAUCCUUCAGAUGCUCUUUAAACCAGUCCAGUUUGAGACUCUCAAGCGUUUCUCUGUUAAUAAGGAGUGAAAUUAGUAGAUUUGAUGAAGACCUGGUUUUUUUCCUUGCCACAUUGAACUUCUAGGCACCAUUUGGAUUCGGUUUUAGUGUAUGGGUUGGAGAACUGUAGCUGUUUCUUGACCUGCCUCUUAAUGGUAGAGAUGUAGAAGGGCAAGCAAGACCACAAGGAGACCGGCUGUAGGCUGUAGGGCACUGUUGGAGGGCUUUGUGGUUUCGGCUGCAGUAGCUUCCGGCAUACUGGUUAAAGGAACAAAUGAAGAAACCUGCACGGGUAGGAGCAGCGCCAGAAGUAGCAGACCCAGAAUGAGCAUCGCCACCAUCCCCUUACCCAUUUGGAUCAGUGUGCCGUGUGUCCAGCUUGCUGCUCAGUGUGCUGGAGGAUGGGUGGCUCCUGGCUGGUGCAGGGGAGAUAGCAAGUAGGGUCUUAUAUUCAAGGGGCAUCAUAAUGGCAGUGACAUCACUCCCUUUCCUCCUACAUCCAGACAAGUACUUUGUUUCGAAACAAAACAUUUAAGUUGCUUAGAAAGCCUGGACCUUAUUAAUUACAAAUCUAUAAAAAGGCAGAUUUCGAAUCUUUUUUUCCCAAGUGGCGUGAUUUUUCCCUUGGUUUUUUUUUCUGUCCCAUAUGACCUUCAGAAAUUUUUCUUGAUUCUUAAAAGUGAUGCAAAUUUUUUGUUAAAAGUUGUUAGCACAGGGUAUGAGAAGAGGUUUUUACCCAGAGAUAAGUAUUAUUGAUAUUUGGUAUAUUUUCAUAUAGUACAUAUACAUGUAUUUACACAGUAAAGAUUGUACUUUUGUAUCCAGAAUUUUGGGUUAACAAUUAUUGUGAGCAUUUUCCUGUCAUUAAAAAUGUAAAAGGUAUGGUUUCAUUAACUUCUUAAAAAGUUUGUGGCCGGGUGUGGUUGCACUCGCCUGUAAUCCCAGCACUUUGGGAGGCCGAGGCGGGCAGAUCAUGAGGUCAGAUUGAGACAAUCCUGGCUAACACGGUGAAAUCCCAUCUCUACUAAAAAUACAACAAAAUUAGCCAGGCGUGGUUUCACCAUGUUGCAGGAUG